GACGUAGGGCGCGAGCGUUGUCCGGAUUUAUUGGGCGUAAAGAGCUCGUAGGCGGCUUGUCGCGUCGGCCGUGAAAACCUGCAGCUUAACUGUGGGCUUGCGGUCGAUACGGGCAUCACUGGAGUUCGGCAGGGGAGACUGGAAUUCCUGGUGUAGCGGUGAAAUGCGCAGAUAUCAGGAGGAACACCGGUGGCGAAGGCGGGUCUCUGGGCCGAUACUGACGCUGAGGAGCGAAAGUGUGGGGAGCGAACAGG
rnacentral:rRNA from 1 species